rnacentral:lncRNA from 1 species
UGAAAUCAAAGUUUUUAGCUUUGUUCUUCAACUCGUCUUGAAGAAGCUUUUUUGCCUUUUGUAGCCAAUCUUCUAGUUUGUCCUGGAGAAGUAACAAACAAGCAAUGAAACAUAUUGAGCUUCAGCUGCAUUGAGAAAGCACAUUAAGUACCAAGAUAUUAUUAUUUGUUCAAUAAGAUAUCCAUAAUGUUUCUAUUUGCCUGUUUUAAGUCAUCGUUUUACAUCUAUAAGGUAAAAUGUGCAGAAAUUAAUUUCAACCAUGCAUUUUUGGUUCCUAAAGAAUGUAGGCUAGAAACACUCCACAUUUAGAAAGACUUUAAGCGGAUCAGGGGCCUGAAUUGCAGAUCAAUAGUUCGACUACUAGAAUGUUACAGAGCGCCUUGCUUUUGUUAAAAAUUUAAAAUAAUAAUAGUAAUAAUAAUAAAUAAAUAAUUUAAUAAAUCUGUUGCUUUCUUGCUUGGCAUACAAACUAAAGACCAGAAGAGUGUUUCAUUCUAACCUCGAUAUUCACAAGUAAAUCCUAAGGGCCCAACUUCUACUCUAAGACAGCAAAGUAAAUUUUUAAAUCCCAUGCUUACCCAACUUCUGCAAAUGAAAAACUUUGGAAAAUACUUUUUUUGCAAUCUACAGAACAUUGAUUAUGUGUUUAAUUGACAGUCUUUAACCGGCACCUUAGAUCAAAAUUGCACGUGAUAUAAGUACUUGAUGACAAGAUACUUAAGUUGCUAAGUAUUUCAGAAAUCCUCAAACUCUAUAGCUAAAGAGUUGCAGAAGAGUUGCAGAAGAGGAGAAAUUAGAUAACAAUGGUGUAAUGAACAAUGAGCACAUUUACAAUAUUUUUUUCUACAUGGGUCAAACCAAUGACUUUAAGCAUCUGAGACAUGAAGGCAACUUAUCCAAAUACAAGUAAAAUUUCAACAGCUAUAGCAACAAAAGGUAACCUUUCCUAGCACAAUUCUACAAAACAGCCUACGUGCCUGGCUUGACCCAACAUUGUCCAUUAUUAAGAGUAGGAUUAUGCUAUAAUCGUGCCUCCAUAAUCGUGCCUCCUUCCUAUGUAGGAUGACUGCAAUAAAUGACAAGGAACAUCCAGAGGCUAACUUAAAUGAAAGAAAAGGAAUUUUACAAUUACGGUGAAUGAUCCACACCUUCACCGUUUUCCAGUUACUCUCUUCAUCCUCUCCAUCCAGCAAAAUCGUAUCGGCACUACACUGGCGUCGUCUCAAUACCAAUUCACCUACCGUAACAAGACACAGCCAGAAGCCAGAAGGGAACGAAGAACCAGGAAUAUCCGUCUCUUCCCCUUUCCUCAAAUUCUCAGCUAAAACAGAACCCAUCCCACUUUAACUAAGACAAGUCACAUUAGCACCUACAGUUCCCCCACUAUUUCUCGGAGCAGCAGCAUCAUCUUGAAAGCACCCCAACAGCAAAAAAAGGCAAACGAAUCGGAAGCAUUCAGCCACCCACAAAGCAAAAAUCAAACACCACCCACCACCGCCAUUUCUCUCAAAUACAAAAGAAAAAGAACAUCAAGGACGCAAGCGCUCCCGCAACGAGCGAACUCAAAACGGCACACGAAGACCUAAUCCCGAACGACAAGGCAUGGCGCGGCACACUCAGGACGCCAUUGCACAGAACGACCAAGUAAUCGAUGAUAUUGACGACGACAACGACCAUACCUUCGAGAGGGAGAGGCGGCGAAGGCCUCGACCAAUGCGGCGGGAAUCGAGUGGAGCGGCGGUGGCGGCAGGUGAGGGAGUCCCACCGAGCAAAGAGCGUAGAAGCGGUCGUGGGAGAGAGUGAUGGAAGGGUGGGAAGAAAAACGAGAACUAGGGUUUUCUUGGUUUU